GGACUCUCUUCUAUUUCUCCAGCAGUUGUUCUUACAGCACUUCUAUGGCUCUUCUUGCAGAGUUCCAGCAGUAACCAGCACAUCAGGUACACUGCCAAGGUGAAUUUUGCUUUCACGUAUCUUUCAGGCAAAAAGGUAAGGUACAUUUGUACCAAAUCCAGUUCUUCAUUGCCAAUGCUAUCAAUAUCAUCUCUCCCACCUUCCUGUCUUCUUUCUUCAUCUUCU
rnacentral:lncRNA from 1 species